CUUCGUCAGGUGAGAAAGAAGGGUCCUGAGCUGCCUUGAAAGCCUAUGUAUUAUAAUCUUUUUAGUUAGCCAAUAAAAAGUGUCAUUUUGCUUGACUUCUCAUUGCAUCCAUAAUGGCUGACACGGUUACAGCACCCUAGUGCUACUUAAAUGGCAGAUCAAAUGUAUAGUGAAGUUGAUGGAGACACAGUACCACUGUUACAUGAUUUAGGCUUUGUCUACAAAAGUUAAGAUUCAACAUCUGUACCAGUUGUUGGGCUAAUGUCCCAUUGUAUUGGAAAAACUCAUUAAGUUAGCUGACUUAAACACCAGCAGUUGUUUGAUAUUUGGCUUCCUCCUUAGACAGUAACAUCCGUGCAGAAGGAUUCCUCAUGAAUUUCAACCCAUCGUAGUGCACAUUCAGGCCCACAUCCAGACUGAAAUGGUGCCAAUUAGGAGUCGUCGCUUGACACGUACGCCACAGGGACCUGCAAAACACUGACCUGGAUGUGAUAAGCCUCAAUCUAAUGAAGCAGCGAUGGAGAGUUGGCCGCGAGCCACGUAUGGCCAAAAUAGGAUUGUGACUCUUAGUGACAAAGCCAACACACACAGUGCCAACGCCAGACUCAGGGAGGAAAUGAGAACUUCAGAGGAAACCCCAGGAAACUUAAUAAGGCUGUAGUGAAUGAGUUGUUCCUCCUCAUGGACCCCG